UUUGGAGAGUUUGAUCCUGGCUCAGGACGAACGCUGGCGGCGUGCUUAACACAUGCAAGUCGAGCGGUAAGGCCCUUCGGGGUACACGAGCGGCGAACGGGUGAGUAACACGUGGGUGAUCUGCCUCGCACUCUGGGAUAAGCCUGGGAAACUGGGUCUAAUACCGGAUAUGACCUUACAUCGCAUGGUGUUUGGUGGAAAGAUUUAUCGGUGCGAGAUGGGCCCGCGGCCUAUCAGCUUGUUGGUGGGGUAAUGGCCUACCAAGGCGACGACGGGUAGCCGGCCUGAGAGGGCGACCGGCCACACUGGGACUGAGACACGGCCCAGACUCCUACGGGAGGCAGCAGUGGGGAAUAUUGCACAAUGGGCGAAAGCCUGAUGCAGCGACGCCGCGUGAGGGAUGACGGCCUUCGGGUUGUAAACCUCUUUCGACAGGGACGAAGCGCAAGUGACGGUACCUGUAGAAGAAGCACCGGCCAACUACGUGCCAGCAGCCGCGGUAAUACGUAGGGUGCGAGCGUUGUCCGGAAUUACUGGGCGUAAAGAGCUUGUGGGCGGCUUGUCGCGUCGAUCGUGAAAACUUGGGGCUCAACCCCAAGCUUGCGGUCGAUACGGGCAGGCUUGAGUCCUUCAGGGGAGACUGGAAUUCCUGGUGUAGCGGUGAAAUGCGCAGAUAUCAGGAGGAACACCGGUGGCGAAGGCGGGUCUCUGGGAAGUAACUGACGCUGAGAAGCGAAAGCGUGGGUAGCGAACAGGAUUAGAUACCCUGGUAG
rnacentral:rRNA from 1 species